GCUGUGAUCGUAUAGUGAUCAGUACUCUGCGUUGUGGCCCCAGCAAGCCUAGUUCGAAUCCGGGUCACGGCA
rfam:Danio rerio chromosome 20, GRCz11 reference primary assembly.